UACGGAGGGGGGCUAGCGUUGUUCGGAAUUACUGGGCGUAAAGCGCACGUAGGCGGCUUUGUAAGUUAGAGGUGAAAGCCCGGGGCUCAACUCCGGAAUUGCCUUUAAGACUGCAUCGCUGGAAUUGUGGAGAGGUAAGUGGAAUUCCGAGUGUAGAGGUGAAAUUCGUAGAUAUUCGGAAGAACACCAGUGGCGAAGGCGACUUACUGGACACAUAUUGACGCUGAGGUGCGAAAGCGUGGGGAGCAAACAGG
rnacentral:rRNA from 1 species